GAGAGAGAGAGAGAGAGAGAGAGAGAGAGAGAGAGAGUGAUAUCAGCAGAAAUCAGCAGAAGGAAGAAUGACUCAUCGCACUGGUUCAGAAGGACGACGGAGGGAUUCAGGGUCAUCAAUUCACCCUGCGGAGGAGAGAAACAGCAUGAUUCAUGAGAACGAGAUGUAGCGCUGCACCUGAGCCUGAUUCGCUGCAUACAUGGAUAACCACACCAUCGUCCCUCCGACCGUAAAACUCCAGAACGAGUAACGCCUCUGAGGAUCCAACCCAAAACUGACCGAGCCAGAAACAGGAAGA